GCUCAGAACGAACGCUGGCGGCAGGCUUAACACAUGCAAGUCGAACGAUAUAGUGGCAGACGGGUGAGUAACGCGUGGAAACGUGCCUUUCACUACGGAAUAGCUUUUGGAAACGAAAGGUAAUACCGUAUACGCCCUCCGGGGGAAAGAUUUAUCGGUGAAAGAUCGGUCCGCGUUAGAUUAGCUAGUUGGUGAGGUAAGAGCUCACCAAGGCGACGAUCUAUAGCUGGUCUGAGAGGAUGAUCAGCCACACUGGGACUGAGACACGGCCCAGACUCCUACGGGAGGCAGCAGUGGGGAAUAUUGCACAAUGGGCGCAAGCCUGAUGCAGCCAUGCCGCGUGAAUGAUGAAGGCCUUAGGGUUGUAAAAUUCUUUCGCCAAGGAUGAUAAUGACAGUACUUGGUAAAGAAGCCCCGGCUAACUUCGUGCCAGCAGCCGCGGUAAUACGAAGGGGGCUAGCGUUGUUCGGAAUUACUGGGCGUAAAGCGCACGUAGGCGGAUUUUUAAGUCAGAUGUGAAAUCCCAAGGCUCAACCUUGGAACUGCAUUUGAAACUGGGAAUCUAGAGAUCAGGAGAGGUUAGUGGAAUACCGAGUGUAGAGGUGAAAUUCGUAGAUAUUCGGUGGAACACCAGUGGCGAAGGCGACUAACUGGACUGAUACUGACGCUGAGGUGCGAAAGUGUGGGGAGCAAACAGGAUUAGAUACCCUGGUAGUCCACACCGUAAACGAUGAGAGCUAGUUGUCUGCAGGCAUGCCUGUAGGUGACGCAGCUAACGCAUUAAGCUCUCCGCCUGGGGAGUACGGCCGCAAGGUUAAAACUCAAAGAAAUUGACGGGGGCCCGCACAAGCGGUGGAGCAUGUGGUUUAAUUCGAAGCAACGCGCAGAACCUUACCUACGCUUGACAUGCCUGGACGACUCCGAGAGAUCGGUUUCUCCCUUCGGGGCCAGUGCACAGGUGCUGCAUGGCUGUCGUCAGCUCGUGUCGUGAGAUGUUGGGUUAAGUCCCGCAACGAGCGCAACCCUCAUCCUUAGUUGCCAUCACGUUUGGGUGGGCACUCUAGGGAAACUGCCGGUGCUAAGCCGGAGGAAGGCGGGGAUGACGUCAAGUCCUCAUGGCCCUUACGCGUAGGGCUACACACGUGCUACAAUGGCAGUGACAAUGGGAUAAUCCCCAAAAGCUGUCUCAGUUCGGAUUGUCGGCUGCAACUCGCCGGCAUGAAGUUGGAAUCGCUAGUAAUCGUGGAUCAGCAUGCCACGGUGAAUACGUUCCCGGGCCUUGUACACACCGCCCGUCACACCAUGGGAGUUGGAUCUACCCGAAGAUUGUGAGCUAACUUCGGAGGCAGCAAGCCACGGUAGGUUCAGCGACUGGGGUGAAGUCGUAACAAGGUAGCCGUAGGGGAACCUGCGGU
rnacentral:rRNA from 1 species